AGAGUUUGAUCAUGGCUCAGAUUGAACGCUGGCGGCAGGCUUAACACAUGCAAGUCGAGCGGGGGAAGGUAGCUUGCUACUGGACCUAGCGGCGGACGGGUGAGUAAUGCUUAGGAAUCUGCCUAUUAGUGGGGGACAACAUCUCGAAAGGGAUGCUAAUACCGCAUACGUCCUACGGGAGAAAGCAGGGGAUCUUCGGACCUUGCGCUAAUAGAUGAGCCUAAGUCGGAUUAGCUAGUUGGUGGGGUAAAGGCCUACCAAGGCGACGAUCUGUAGCGGGUCUGAGAGGAUGAUCCGCCACACUGGGACUGAGACACGGCCCAGACUCCUACGGGAGGCAGCAGUGGGGAAUAUUGGACAAUGGGGGGAACCCUGAUCCAGCCAUGCCGCGUGUGUGAAGAAGGCCUUAUGGUUGUAAAGCACUUUAAGCGAGGAGGAGGCUACUUUAGUUAAUACCUAGAGAUAGUGGACGUUACUCGCAGAAUAAGCACCGGCUAACUCUGUGCCAGCAGCCGCGGUAAUACAGAGGGUGCGAGCGUUAAUCGGAUUUACUGGGCGUAAAGCGUGCGUAGGCGGCUUAUUAAGUCGGAUGUGAAAUCCCCGAGCUUAACUUGGGAAUUGCAUUCGAUACUGGUGAGCUAGAGUAUGGGAGAGGAUGGUAGAAUUCCAGGUGUAGCGGUGAAAUGCGUAGAGAUCUGGAGGAAUACCGAUGGCGAAGGCAGCCAUCUGGCCUAAUACUGACGCUGAGGUACGAAAGCAUGGGGAGCAAACAGGAUUAGAUACCCUGGUAGUCCAUGCCGUAAACGAUGUCUACUAGCCGUUGGGGCCUU
rnacentral:rRNA from 1 species